CCUACGGGAGGCAGCAGUGGGGAAUUUUGGACAAUGGGGGCAGCCCUGAUCCAGCAAUGCCGCGUGAGUGAAGAAGGCCUUCGGGUUGUAAAGCUCUUUUGUCAGGGAAGAAACAGCAGCUCUAACACAGUCUGCGAAUGACGGUACCUGAAGAAUAAGCACCGGCUAACUACGUGCCAGCAGCCGCGGUAAUACGUAGGGUGCGAGCGUUAAUCGGAAUUACUGGGCGUAAAGCGUGCGCAGGCGGUUAUACAAGACAGGCGUGAAAUCCCCGGGCUUAACCUGGGAAUGGCGCCUGUGACUGUAUAGCUAGAGUGUGUCAGAGGGGGGUAGAAUUCCACGUGUAGCAGUGAAAUGCGUAGAUAUGUGGAGGAAUACCAAUGGCGAAGGCAGCCCCCUGGGAUAACACUGACGCUCAUGCACGAAAGCGUGGGGAGCAAACAGGAUUAGAUACCCUGGUAGUCCACGCCCUAAACGAUGCUGACUAGUUGUUGGGAAUUUACAUUCUCAGUAACGUAGCUAACGCGUGAAGUCAGCCGCCUGGGGAGUACGGUCGCAAGAUUAAAACUCAAAGGAAUUGACGG
rnacentral:rRNA from 1 species